CCUACGGGAGGCAGCAGUGAGGAAUAUUGGUCAAUGGACGAGAGUCUGAACCAGCCAAGUAGCGUGAAGGAUGACUGCCCUAUGGGUUGUAAACUUCUUUUAUAAAGGAAUAAAACGAGGCACGUGUGCCUUUUUGCAUGUACUUUAUGAAUAAGGAUCGGCUAACUCCGUGCCAGCAGCCGCGGUAAUACGGAGGGUCCGAGCGUUAUCCGGAUUUAUUGGGUUUAAAGGGAGCGUAGAUGGGUUGUUAAGUCAGUUGUGAAAGUUUGCGGCUCAACCGUAAAAUUGCAAUUGAUACUGGCAGUCUUGAGUGCGCUUGAGGUAAGCGGAAUUCCAGGUGUAGGGGUGAAAUCCGUAGAUAUCUGGCGGAACUUCAGUGGCGAAGGCGACUAUCUGGCACAUAACUGACGCUGAGGAGCGAAAGCGUGGGUAGCGAACAGGAUUAGAUACCCCGGUAGUC
rnacentral:rRNA from 1 species